rnacentral:rRNA from 1 species
ACGCUCGACACCUACGGGAGGAGCAGUGGGGAAUAUUGCACAAUGGGGGAAACCCUGAUGCAGCGACGCCGCGUGGAGGAAGAAGGUCUUCGGAUUGUAAACUCCUGUUGUUGGGGAAAAAGAGGAUGGUACCCAACAAGGAAGUGACGGCUAACUACGUGCUAGCAGCCGCGGUAAUCUGAGCGGGCUGGCAAGGC